rnacentral:pre_miRNA from 1 species
AUAGUACUUCCUCCGUUUCGAAUUACUUGUCUUGGAUUUGUCUAGAUACGGAUGUAUCUAGACUCAUUUUAGUGCUAGAUACCUCCGUAUCUAGACAAAUCUAAGACAAGUAAUUCGGAACGGAGGGAGUAGUAU